UCUCCAAUCCCCCUUUUUUUCACAAUAGAUUCCUCCCUUAAAUACUCUCUCUCUCUUCUCCUCUAGAGUUCUAUUUAAAAUAAAAUACUAAUAUCUAAAAUAUUAAAUUCGUAAUUACAAAAAUAACCAAAAAUACAAAACACGUUAAACUAAAAACUGUAGGUCCGUAGUUGACAGCACGCGCCCACGCCUUAUCAAUAAAGUUCUUCUGACGCUCAUUAUUUCUUCAAAAGAACAAUCAUCCUUAAACAUCAUCUUGUAGCUCAAUUUUAGCACCAAUCAAUAGAAUUGCACCUAUAAAAGUAAAACACAAGUAAAUCACUAUUAUUAAGUGCAAAACAUCGAUAUUAAGGGAAGCAAACAAUGCAAAACUAGUGCAUAAAUUGCACUCUAACAAAUUCCCCCACACCAAGAUGAUGCUUGUCCUCAAGCAUAUAACUCAAGACUAAUCACAAAUCUCCGCUCAAUUCUCAUCUCAACUCAUCCAAAAACAAUUUUAAGCAAGCAUACCUCAAGAAAUUAAGUCGAUCAUCAUUCGAAAGACAAGGAUUUUAAAGCAUAGAAUCUCAUAAGAUAGAAGAAGAACAUUCAACCACCAAGAAGAUCCAUUCAAAAUUCAACUGCAAUAAGAUUUAAUAGCCCUCUCAUUGACUUCACUCCAUUCACUCAAAGUGUUUAGGGUAUCAUUUAUGCACUCAAAUCAAAUCAAAUAAUGCUAUUACCAUAAGCUUGCUCAUAUAUCACAUCUCAAUCCACAAAACAUGAAUAAAAUGCAAAAAUCUAAGGGUCUUAAAAAGGUUGUAAUGGGGUUAAAUAAGUUAAAUGAAAAAGAAAGGUCUACGAAAGAAAAAGAGAUCAAAAUGAGAAGAAUGAACUCAUUGAAUGAACUUAUGAUAUCAAAAUGCUUAUUUCUACUCAAGUCACCAAGAAUGUAAACAUUUUUUUUCUUUUUUUCGAUUUUUGUCUUUUUUUUCUUUUUUUUUAAUCAAAAGAAAAGAAACGAACCUUGCACAAUUUAAUUCAAGCAUAAUGCUUGUUGAUCUAAUUGAGAAACUUUAAUACAAGGUAGAAAAAGCAACAAAAUAUAUACAAAAUAUAUCCGCACAAUGAGUCCAAAAAUCUCCUUAAAUUGAGGCUCAAAAAGAAGAAAAAUUGUUAAGUAGACAAAGAGAAUUAGAUGGAUAAUGGUUAAGACUCAAACAAAGAUAGCAAAUAAAGGUCUUCGGGUAGAAAAAAAAAAGAAAAUGCGAGAAACAAAUGUUUACAUAGAAACAAAUGGCGCGCAGUCGAUUUGUCAAUCUAGUACCACUCUCGUAUACUUGGUGAGAUUCGGCUAUACCAAAUUUGUAGCCUAUAUUUUACUUUAAUGAGAAAAUCAAAUAAUGUUUGAACAAAUAAUUUUCUUUUUUCUAUAUACUUUCUUAAAAUGUAUGGAGUGGGUAAAGUACAAAUUGUUUUUUUAGCCCUUUGACUCCUCCAAAAUUCGAACUCAAUUUAAUGUCAAUUAAAAUAAUGCUACUUGAAAAUCAUUCAACCAAAUAUCGUAAAAACUAUAAUUUUACGAAGUGAAAGUUUCACUGAUUAUUGAAUUAUAGAACAUGCUAUCAUUUCCUAGUUAGAAUUUGUUUAAUUCUAUUAAUUUACAAUCAUUCUUUAUUUUAUUCAAUUAAUUAAAGUGAAUUUGUUUUGUAUAAGUUCUAUAUAUGUAAAAUUUUAAAAUUCAGUGUUGAACUUAAUUGUACUAAACCUUUUAUAAUUUUUUAUCACAUCUGCAUGUUUAACAGUCUAGUAUUAAUAUUGAUAGCACAUAAUAUAUAGGAUCAAGAGACAUUGAUUUCGGGUGCCACAAGAUUUUUAGGAUUGCAUGCACAAGGGCUUACAAGAUUUUUAGGAUUGCAUGUAGGGGUGGGCGCGGUUCAGUUCGGUUCGAUUUUUAACUAAAUUUUUCAUAAUCGUUCAAUUACGAUUAUUUUAAAAUCAUAAUGGCAAUUAAUCAAAUUACCGAAAUAAUCAAGUACUCGAUUAAUCAAAAUAAUUCGAUUUGAUUCAGUUCGAUAAUUUCGAUUAUGAGCUUAUUGGACCUAUUUUGGGUUUUUUUAAAUUUAAAACCUUAAAUUAAUAAAUCUACCACAAACAUAAAAAAGUUAACAAACGAUUUGUUUCUUAGUUAAAAGUUUUUAAUCUUUUACUGCUUUUAUUAUUAUCCCAUUUUCGUGAUUGUUGGUAAAUGUGUCAAAUCAUAGGUGGAAAGCCUCUACAAAAUAAAAAUUAACCAAAAAAUCAAUUAAGAUUAUAGUUUAAUUAAGGAUCCAUACAGAGUUAGUUAGCAGAACCAGCUGGAAAAUGUUUUUGUCUGAACCUGUUGCAGAAAAUUAAUACUUGCUAGCGUUUUUUAUUAAUUAAUUUAGUUAUGAAUAUACAAACUUAAAAAGUCAUGAAUGAGACGUGUUUGAACUUGCUUUAGUUUUCAUCAGUAGUAAAGAUAGCACCGGCAAUUCACAGCACCAUCAUUUAGUUAUGAACUUGCUUUACGUGCUCUGGAAAUAUCAGUCAUUUUACAAAUGAAAAAGAAAUCAAGAUUUCAUGUUUCACCAUGCUUGGGUUGCUAUCAAACAUAGCAACACCAAAAAAUCAAAUCCAGUGAAGGAGAAUUACCAAAUACAAGGUCAAGAUUCCACCAUAUUAUCAAAAUUGACAUUUGACCGUCAUUAGUAGCAUUAAUUGUUUUGUAGCGUACAGAGCCACACAAAACACUAAGACUAAAGAAAUCAAAGAUGAAAACAAACACCAUAUCACAUUAAACAUUUUCAAACACGGCUCUAAGAUAUAAAAAUCAUGAUCAAUCUCAACAGUAUCCAGUUUGCGAUUUGGGAAAAGAAACUGAAAAAACCAAUCAUUCAAUCAUCUUUCAGCCAAAGAAACAAACCAUAUCUCACCCAAAUGGGGGAAAAGAAAAAACAAAAGAAUGAAUCAUAAAUCACAAAUCAAUUUUGGUAUACAAAUUACUAGUCAUGGUUAUAACUAAAUACAACAUCUCAAGUGAACGAACCUCAACAAAUUAUGAAACGAAACACGAAACAAUCAGCAGUAGCUCAAGUUAUUGGUUUUUAUUCUCUGCAAAAACAGAACAAACCAGAGAAAUGAGAGACAAAAACAGCAGCGAUAUUUACAUAACUCAAGCACAUUAACAAAAACAUGGGAACGAGGAAAAAGAAAUGAACUUUAAACCAAAUUCAUAAAACCGAAACGAAAAAUGGAACUUUUUUGUUCGAUUUUUUGUUCUGCUGAGAGAUUUUGUUGACAAAAACAAAAGAACCCAGAAAUGCUAAAGAGGAAGAGAGAGAAAUCAAUACGUGAUCGUAGUGUUAAAAAAAAAAAAAACCUCACAACAGUAGUCAGAUGGCAGCAGGGGAGCACCGUGACAGCAGCAACAAUUGAUAGUAGGUGACAGCGGCAAGUGACAGUGGCAGCAGCAGCAGAUGACAGCGGCUACAGCAGGUGGUAGCGGCGGCGGAGAGUCGUGAAGGACAAGCAGCAGCAGCAGCGGGGACGAGAUUCCAGCGGCUGAAGGUGCUGCGGCUUCGGUUUUCGGCUGAAGAUCAGAAGAAAUGAAGAAUGUGUUUAGUUUAGAC
rnacentral:lncRNA from 1 species